UAGGUGGUAGCACAGAACCUAUUCUCUGGGGAAGAACUGACAUAGGAGACGUGACUAAGUUGCAGUUGACACAUGCAACCUCAAAGAGAAAAGUUUGAGGAAAUCACUUCAAGGACAAAAAAUUGCAAUGUAAAGAGAAUUAUUUAUCUCCAAAUUCCAGAUUACCCCCCUGCCCAACCCCUGCCAGCAGCACCGUCCACAUGGUUUCUCAUUUAGUUUUGUGUUAGUUUAACAAAGUAGACUCUGCAAUCUGGAUAAAAUAGUAAGUCACCUCAGGUAGGUGCCAAUAGGAUGCUCCUUUGGACAUUGCAGAUUUUAAGUACUGUCUUUUUAUAAUACAGGAGGCAUGUACAAGUCUGUCAUAUGUGGAAAUGUUGUGAACCCAUCAUAUAUACAAUGUGCUGUUUUAGAAGAUAGAUUGUCCAUUUAGGUGUGUUAUAACAACCUAGAUGGGAAGUUACUUUCCGGUGUGUUCAAAGUUCCUUAUCUGAUUCUGCAGAGGCUGGGAUCUGAGCAGGUCACUCUAUCUCUGGAGGCCUGUUACUUGAUGAUAAAUACUAAUAAACAUCUCCCGUCAGACAUCUCAUCUUUUUGUGGAUUCCUGUAGUACUCUUACCCUUUCUACAAACAUGUAAAUACCAUCCAUUGAUAUAAUUUUUUUUUUUUUUUCUUUUGAGAGAGAGUCUCCCUCUGUUGCUCAGGCUGGAGUGCAGUGGCACGAUUUCGGCUCACUGCAAGCUCUGCCUCCCGGGUUCGCGCCAUUCUCCUGCCUCAGCCACCUGGGUAGCUGGGACUACAGGCGCUCGCCACCACGCCUGGCUAAUUUUUUGUAUUUUUAGUGGAGACGCGGUUUCACCGUGUUAGCCAGGAUGGUCUGGAUCUCCUGACCUCGCGAUCCGCCCGCCUAUAUAAUAUUCUUAUUUAACCCUUGGUUAAUAUAUUGGCAUCAGUUUGUUUUAACAACAAUAACAUAAUUAUCCCUAAUAAUCAGCAUUAUAAAAGCUAUCAUAAUCGCUUACAUAACUACAACUAUUAUCUAGACAAUAAUAGGUUAGAUUAAUAAGAAUUCAGUGUUAUUCAACACAUUGCUAAAAUGUUUCCAUGUACUUUUAUCUUAUAAGCUAAAUCUUAGGAGCUGUUACUCCUGGAAUAGAACAAUAUUUCAUUAAUAUAUUUAAAAUUUUAAAUUAGUAAACAUUUUUCUGAGAGAUUCUGAUUCUAUGGAGAAAAAAUAAUGUGAUCAAGAAUUUCUAUUGCUGGAAACAAACUAACAAAUCAUUUAGUUCGAAAGCCCCUCUUACAAAUGCAGGAACUGAGCUGAUUGACUCUUCAUUUAAUGAUAAUACUAUUAACAGGUAAUGCAGUUUUGAAGGAAAGCACAGGCUGAAUACAGAAAUCUCUUUCCAAGAGGUGGUGAGUCUUUACGACAAUUGAAUACGUGUUAUUUUUAUUCACUAAAAUUUGGCUAAGAUUGAAAGGGUAAACUUUGUGGGUCUUUCAGGAGAUCUUUUACUAAAAUAAGUAGGGCCUUAAUCACUGCUGAAUGAACUUUGUACAGAAUGGGCCCACAGGCCUCAUCUGUUGUAGCUGGGAUUGCUUUGAGAGAAGUGGAUUUGUUGAAAAGUGGAUGGAAGAACACAGGAUUUAGAAUUGGCAUAUUUGACUAUAGCUUCUGCAUCCACCUAUCUCUGCGCUAUAGAAAUGAUUAAAGAGAAGUGGGAAAAAUUCAUAAACUUUAUGAUUAUUUUUAAUUUUAAGGAGGACAUGGGACCUUUAUUAAAAAAAAUAUUCCCAUAUAUGAAAGAUUCUUAUUUCUAUAAUGGGGAAAUGGCGAGACUAUGAAAAAAAAAAAACAAAUAUGUAAUUGAACUUUAAUGUAUAAUACCAAAAUAAACUAUAGGUCACCUUUGGCAGUAUAUAUGUUUAAAAAUAAUUUCGACGUUUAAAAUGCCUUAAGAGAGGACCAUUAAGGUCAGAUUGAGAAGAUAAAAGAAUUGAUCUUUUAGGGUGCCAUUCUACUCUAUAGCUCUGUAAUUUCUAUGGUUAUGAUGGUUCUCUUUUGUUAAAUAAGGACUUAUAGAAAUUAUUUAUUUUAUCUGUUUGUAUUUAUUUAUUUGCCUGUUGGUACUAGUCAACUGCUUCCCCUUACUUCCCUCCACUUGCUACAACUAAUCAAAUGUCAUAUUUUAAGAUUAUUUACCAAGGUUGCUUUAAAUUUUUGUCUCCUUUUUAAAGUGUGAAAAUUAUUUAUUUUAAAGUUAGCAUUCAUUUCAUUAUUCCUUCUUUAAUAAAGUAUUUAUU
rnacentral:lncRNA from 1 species